UGGUGUAGCUGGUUAUCACGCUCGCUUUGCAUUUGUGAUUGCGAGUGGUCUCCGGUUCGAUUCCGG
rnacentral:tRNA from 1 species